UUCCUUUUUGCUGUGCUUGACCAUUAUGGAGAGGUUCGUGGAGCUGUACAAAAUCAAGAGCGGCAUAGAAAGGCUAACUAGGCUCAUAAGAUGCUUCGGAGAUGAUAGCCCUACACAAAGAGGACAGAGGACCUCAUUUUCUAAAGGAAGAUCCCUCACACACUUUCAAGACUGUGAAGCCGACAGGUAUUGAAGACACGUUUUCUAAGAGGAUGAAAGUUGGCAUUGCGAUGGUGAAAGAAGAAG